rnacentral:rRNA from 1 species
CACGUAGGGUGCGAGCGUUGUCCGGAAUUAUUGGGCGUAAAGAGCUCGUAGGCGGUGUGUCGCGUCGGCCGUGAAAACCUGCAGCUUAACUGUGGGCUUGCGGUCGAUACGGGCAUCACUGGAGUUCGGCAGGGGAGACUGGAAUUCCUGGUGUAGCGGUGAAAUGCGCAGAUAUCAGGAGGAACACCAGUGGCGAAGGCGGCAACCUGGGCCAAUAUUGACGCUGAGGUGCGAAAGCGUGGGGAGCAAACAGG